rnacentral:rRNA from 1 species
UGGGGAAUAUUGCACAAUGGGCGCAAGCCUGAUGCAGCCAUGCCGCGUGUAUGAAGAAGGCCUUCGGGUUGUAAAGUACUUUCAGCGGGGAGGAAGGUGUUGAGGCUAAUAACCUCAGCAAUUGACGUUACCCGCAGAAGAAGCACCGGCUAACUCCGUGCCAGCAGCCGCGGUAAUACGGAGGGUGCAAGCGUUAAUCGGAAUUACUGGGCGUAAAGCGCACGCAGGCGGUGUGUCAAGUCGGAUGUGAAAUCCCCGGGCUCAACCUGGGAACUGCAUUCGAAACUGGCAGGCUAGAGUCUUGUAGAGGGGGGUAGAAUUCCAGGUGUAGCGGUGAAAUGCGUAGAGAUCUGGAGGAAUACCGGUGGCGAAGGCGGUCCCCUGGACAAAGACUGACGCUCAGGUGCGAAAGCGUGGGGAGCAAACA